CUAGCGAUUCUAGAGUUUGAUCCUGGCUCAGGAUGAACGCUAGCUACAGGCUUAACACAUGCAAGUCGAGGGGCAGCGGGGAUCUAGCUUGCUAGAUUUGCCGGCGACCGGCGCACGGGUGAGUAACACGUAUCCAACCUGGCCCAUACUCGGGUAUAGCCUCUCGAAAGGGAGAUUAAUCCCCGAUGUUGUUGUUUCACCGCAUGGUGUACCAACCAAAGAAUUUCGGUAUGGGAUGGGGAUGCGUUCCAUUAGCUUGUUGGCGGGGUAACGGCCCACCAAGGCGACGAUGGAUAGGGGUUCUGAGAGGAAGGUCCCCCACACUGGAACUGAGACACGGUCCAG
rnacentral:rRNA from 1 species